rnacentral:pre_miRNA from 1 species
CAGCUAUUCCCUCCGUCCAUCAAAAUGUCUCAAGUUUGUUACAAUUUGAAUGUAGACAUGAAUUAGUGUAUAGAUGCAUUUAAAUUUAGUCAAAGUUGAGACAUCCUUUGUUGGACGGAGGAAGUACAAU